CCCAAAAUUGUUUGGCUCACUCAUGCAAUCCAAGGUUGGAAAUGUUCGUGAAGACUGGCCAAAGAUAUCUUCCCAUAACCAUAUGCUCUGAGCUCACGUAGAAGACCUUACAACUUGGACAACUUGGACGUAUUGAAAUUGUAGAUGCUAAGCUAUGAUGCAAGCCAUCAUGUGUAAUCAGUGAAUCGAACACAUUACCAUGUACUUUGAUCAUCAGAUUUUAUAAUAUAAAUGUGCACAUUCCUUUUGCUUUA